UCCAAGUCUCUGAUCUUCUUCUGAUAGCUGGCCUCAGCUCUCUGCAGCCUCAAGCACUCCCGGUGUUCUGCAUCUAACAUGCUCUCCAUCUCCUCGUAGGAUCUCUUCUUGUUUCUCAGUCUGCUAGCAUCUUCUUCUCGCACUCCUCUGAGUUGAUGAGCCAAAUUCAACCUAUCAGCUUUGGCUUUGUACAACUCCAUCUGGGUAUCUU
rnacentral:lncRNA from 1 species